CCUACGGGAGGCAGCAGUGAGGAAUAUUGGUCAAUGGGCGCGAGCCUGAACCAGCCAAGUAGCGUGAAGGAUGACUGCCCUACGGGUUGUAAACUUCUUUUAUAAAGGAAUAAAGUGCGGCACGUGUGCCUUUUUGUAUGUACUUUAUGAAUAAGGAUCGGCUAACUCCGUGCCAGCAGCCGCGGUAAUACGGAGGAUCCGAGCGUUAUCCGGAUUUAUUGGGUUUAAAGGGUGCGUGGGGGGAAAGUUAAGUCAGCGGUAAAAUGUCGGUGCUCAACACCGGCCUGCCGUUGAAACUGGUAUUCUUGAGUGAGCGAGAGGUAGGCGGAAUGCGUGGUGUAGCGGUGAAAUGCAUAGAUAUCACGCAGAACUCCGAUUGCGAAGGCAGCAUGCCGGCGCUCAACUGACGCUGAGGCACGAAAGCGUGGGGAUCGAACAGGAUUAGAUACCCCUGUAGUC
rnacentral:rRNA from 1 species